rnacentral:rRNA from 1 species
CCCUUAGAUGUUCUGGGCCGCACGCGCGCUACACUGAAUGGAUCAACGUGUUUUCCCUUCCCGAGAGGGACGGGUAACCCGCUGAACCCCAUUCGUGGUAGGGAUCGGAGCUUGCAAUUGUUCUCCGUGAACCAGGAAUUCCCAGUAAGCGCAAGUCAUAAGCUUGCGUUGAUUACGUCCCUGCCCUUUGUACACACCGCCCGUCGCACCUACCGAUUGAAUGGUCCGGUGAAGCCUCCGGAUUGGCGCGCACCUCGGUGCCGCCGAGAAGUUGGCUAAACCUUACCAUUUAGAGGAAGGUGAAGUCGUAACA